GUCUGACUGCAUCUAGGAAGAGAGCAGAUCAAAGCGAGCCAGGAUCACAGUGUUUCCUCUAAGGGAAUCUUGGCCGUCCGCUUCAGCCUGGCCUGCACCCCUGAGAUGAAAGCCGAAGUUUUACAGAGGAAAUGCUAUUUACUGGACAAACAACAGGCAGGACGGAGACAUGCAACCCCCAAACUUAUCCCUCUGACUUCAUCAAUAAUUCAAGCCUGGUCUCCUUUCGGAGGACAGAGAAGAAGCCAGUGUCCAGAGGCACAGUUGACUUCAGAGAGUGUGGGUGCAGCUCCCUCCCCUCCUCGCCGGGCAGCCCAGGCUGGCAGGAACCUGGAUCUAACUGUGUGGAAGACAAUUU
rnacentral:lncRNA from 1 species